rnacentral:rRNA from 1 species
AGUGAACGCUGGCGGUAGGCCUAACACAUGCAAGUCGAACGGCAGCACAGUAAGAGCUUGCUCUUACGGGUGGCGAGUGGCGGACGGGUGAGGAAUACAUCGGAAUCUACUUUUUCGUGGGGGAUAACGUAGGGAAACUUACGCUAAUACCGCAUACGACCUACGGGUGAAAGCAGGGGAUCUUCGGACCUUGCGCGAUUGAAUGAGCCGAUGUCGGAUUAGCUAGUUGGCGGGGUAAAGGCCCACCAAGGCGACGAUCCGUAGCUGGUCUGAGAGGAUGAUCAGCCACACUGGAACUGAGACACGGUCCAGACUCCUACGGGAGGCAGCAGUGGGGAAUAUUGGACAAUGGGCGCAAGCCUGAUCCAGCCAUACCGCGGGGGUGAAGAAGGCCUUCGGGUUGUAAGCCCUUUUGUUGGGAAAGAAAAGCAGCAGGUUAAUACCCCGCUGUUCUGACGGUACCCAAAGAAUAAGCACCGGCUAACUUCGUG